AUGUUCUAAAAACCGGUUCGAACCGGCCAGUCGAACCGUGAACCGAACACUAAAGCGGUUCGAACAUUAAGGAAAACCGUAAAAUUAGGAAACCGGCAUUGAACCGACGAACCGACCGGUUACCGGUCGGUCGAACCGAACCGGGACCCGGCUAGUUUUUUAGCUGUGCAGCAAAACGCUGUCGUUUUGCGUUUUGUGAACCCUAAUUCCCUUUGCCCUUCGCACUUUCGUUUCACGUCCCACAGUUCAGCACUUCAGCUCCACUCUCAUCAAGGGUCAGAGAGACAUAGAGAACGCCUGAACGCCAUCACGAUCCGUCCGUCGCGCCGUCAGCACCGUCGCGCCGUCAGCUCCGUCGCGCAGUCAGCACCGUCGCGCCGUCAGCACCGUCGCGCCGUCAGCUCUGUCGCGCACUCAGCUCCAUCGCGCACUCAGCCACUUCGACCAGUCACCUCCGUUGAGCUCUGAGAGAAAGCAAUAGAGUUCGGUUGAAGCGUUGAAGCCUAAAGCCUCAAGGUGCCUUCGAGCUCUGAGAGAAAGCAAUAGAGUUCUAUGUAAUUUU